rnacentral:rRNA from 1 species
CCUGAUUCCAUCCCGAACUCAGAAGUGAAACGAAACAGCGUCGAUGGUAGUGUGGGGUCUCCCCAUGUGAGAGUAGAACAUCGCCAGGC